rnacentral:rRNA from 1 species
AUACCAAAAAGUAAUUUUUUAGACCUAAGUAUUUAAAGUUAUGUACUUGAAAUUUGAAUAAUUUGGCGGUGAUUUAGUCUUGUCAGAGGAACCUGUUUUUAAAUCGAUACACCACGAAAAAUCUUACUUAGGCUUGUAGAGUAGUAUGUAUACCAUCAUUAUUAGGUAAUUUUUAUAGAAUAAAUUACUAAAAAUAAUUAUUAAUAGUGUUAAAUAUAUUAGAUCAAGGUGCAGCUAAUGCUUAAGUUAAAAUGGGUUACAAUAAAAAUUUAUUUAAUACGGAAUAUUAAUUUAAAUAAUUAAUUAGAAGGAGGAUUUGAUUGUAAAUUAAAUUUAAUAUGUUUAGUUAGAUAUAAGCUCUAAAUCAUGUACAUAUCGCCCGUCGCUUUCAUUACCAAAAUGAGAU